AUGACAGAAAGAAAAACGGGUAAAGAAAAAAAAAAAAAAAAAAAAAAAAACACAUU
rnacentral:ribozyme from 1 species